GAGGUUAUAGUCAACUAUGACACCUGAAUUGCAUCCAGGAAGUGCUUAAACUAAAGCUAAUCUU
rnacentral:tRNA from 1 species